GAGUUGAAGUAAUUAUUAAUUUUGUAUUUUAGGUUUUAUUUUAAAAUAAGUAAAUUUGUGUUUUAUUAUUUUUUGAGAAAAAAUAUUUUUUAUUAUAGUUGAUUAGUAAUGUGAAAGAAAUUAUUAAAAUAUUUAAAAGAAAAAAUAUAUUUUUGUACCUUGUGUAUCAGGGUUUAUUAAAAAUAUUUAAAUUUUUAAUUUUCUCGAAUUUAAAAGGGCUAAAAGAAAAUAGUUGAUAUUGUUGAAUAAAUAUAUAAAAUUUUUUUUUAGUAAUGAAACGUUAUUCGUUUUUAAAUAUAUCUAGUUUUUUAAGAAAAAAAUUUAAUUUUAUUAUAAUAAAUAAAUUUAAUUAAUUUUUAUUAGAUUUAUUGUUAUAUUAAAUAUUUUUAGGGAUUAGCUUAAAAAUAGAUUUUUAUAAAUUAAUUUAUUAUGGAAUAAUAUAUAGAAUUGGAAAUUUUCAUUAUUAAUAAUUUGUUAUAAUUACUUAUUUUAUAAAUAUGAUUUUUAUUAAUUUUAACUUUUUUAUUAAAAUUUAAAUUUAAAUAAAAAAAAUUUAGUAAUAAUGAUAAAAUUAGUAUAAUUUAAAUUAAAUUUAAAUAUUUUGAGGAAGGUAAAAAUAAGGAACUCGGCAAAUUUGUUUUUCACCUGUUUAAUAAAAACAUGUCUUUUAGAUAAUAAUUAAAAGUCUAGCCUGCCCACUGAGGAGUUAAAUGGCCGCGGUAUUCUGACCGUGCUAAGGUAGCAUAAUCAUUAGUUUUUUAAUUGAAAGCUGGAAUGAAAGGUUGCAUGAAAAAACUACUGUCUCAUUUUUAAUUUUAUAGAACUUUAUUUUUAAGUUAAAAAGCUUAAAUAUUAUUUAAAGACGAGAAGACCCUAUAGAGCUUUAUUUAAUUUAGAAUUGAUUUUUUUUAGUAUUGUAUAAUAUUUAUUUUAAAUUAUUUUUAGUUGGGGUGAUGGAAAAAUUUAAUAAACUUUUUUUAAUUUAUACCAUUAAUUUAUGAAUAAUUGAUCCAUAAAGUUGUGAUUAAAAGAUAAAGUUACCUUAGGGAUAACAGCGUUAUUUUUUUUGAGAGUUCAUAUCGAAAAAAAAGUUUGCGACCUCGAUGUUGGAUUAAAAUAAAUAUUUGGUGCAGGAGCUAAAUUAAUUAAGUCUGUUCGACUUUUAAAAUUUUACAUGAUCUGAGUUUAAACCGGCGUAAGCCAGGUUGGUUUCUAUCUUAAAUUAAUUAUAAUAUUUUAGUACGAAAGGAUUAAAUAUUGGGUAAUUUACUUUUUAAAUGAUUAAAAUUAA
rnacentral:rRNA from 1 species